AGCGAACGCUGGCGGCAGGCUUAACACAUGCCAGUCGAGCGGGCACUUUCGGGUGUCAGCGGCGGACGGGUGAGUAACGCGUGGGAACGUGCCCUCUGGUUCGGAAUAACUCAGGGAAACUUGAGCUAAUACCGGAUACGCCCUUUUGGGGAAAGGCUUGCUGCCGGAGGAUCGGCCCGCGUCUGAUUAGCUAGUUGGUGAGGUAACGGCUCACCAAGGCGACGAUCAGUAGCUGGUCUGAGAGGAUGAUCAGCCACACUGGGACUGAGACACGGCCCAGACUCCUACGGGAGGCAGCAGUGGGGAAUAUUGGACAAUGGGCGCAAGCCUGAUCCAGCCAUGCCGCGUGAGUGAUGAAGGCCUUAGGGUUGGAAAGCUCUUUUAUCCGGGACGAUAAUGACGGUACCGGAGGAAUAAGCCCCGGCUAACUUCGUG
rnacentral:rRNA from 1 species